GAUGAACGCUAGCGGCAGGCUUAAUACAUGCAAGUCGAGGGGCAGCAUGAUUGUAGCAAUACAAUUGAUGGCGACCGGCGAACGGGUGCGGAACACGUACACAACCUUCCAACAAGUGGGGGAUAGCCCAGAGAAAUUUGGAUUAAUACCCCGUAACAUAGCGAUGUGGCAUCACAUUGCUAUUAUAGAUUUUUCGCUUGUUGAUGGGUGUGCGGCUGAUUAGAUAGUUGGCGGGGUAACGGCCCACCAAGUCUACGAUCAGUAGCUGAUGUGAGAGAAUGAUCAGCCACACGGGCACUGAGACACGGGCCCGACUCCUACGGGAGGCAGCAGUAAGGAAUAUUGGACAAUGGACGCAAGUCUGAUCCAGCCAUGCCGCGUGAAUGAUUAAGGUCCUCUGGAUUGUAAACUUCUUUUAUAAGGGACGAAAAAAGGCUUUUCUAAGUCGUCUGACGGUACCUUAUGAAUAAGCACCGGCUAACUCCGUGCCAGCCGCCGCCGUAACAC
rnacentral:rRNA from 1 species